rnacentral:rRNA from 1 species
UGGUGGAGUGAUUUGUCUGGUUAAUUCCGUUAGCGAACGAGACCUCGACCUGCUAAAUAGUUUGGCGAAUUCCUUGUGGAUUCGCACAUAGCUUCUUAGAGGGACUAUCGGUUCGCAGCCGGUGGAAGUUCGAGGCAAUAACA